UGAAAUAGCGCGCGCAUUAUGUA
rnacentral:siRNA from 1 species